GAAGACGGACACCGGGGCAAGGACCUCCUCGGGGCGAGAGGGCGCACACCGGGCAGGGCAUCCCUGUCCGGGCGGACGGACAUCGGCCGGAGCAUCCCCCGGGGCGAGGACGACGGGGACACAGGCGGACACCUCCGCCGCUCCCCAAAAUCCGAGGGCUUUGGCCAUGGCCCCGGGCUGCCCGAGGCACGGACAAAAUAAAAUUGGCAAAAAAAAAAACCCCAUCAAAUGCUGUGACCGAGUUUUGCUUUCCCAACGAGUCCCUAGCGCCGCACACAUCCCCUGGCAGCAGAGAGACAGAGACCCCCGACCCCCACAAAUAUUUCCCAGGUCCAGGGGGAUGGAGACCCCCGCCCGCAAACAUCCCCUGGAAGUAGAGGGAUGUAGACCCCAGCCCCCCACAAGCAUUUCCCAGGUUCAGGGGGAUGGAGACCCCCGGCCCCAAACAUCCCCUGGCAGCAGAGGGACAGAGACCACGGCCCCCACAAAUAUUUCCCAGGUCCUAAGGGAUGGAGACCCCCGGCCCCAAACAUCCCCUGCAGGGAGAGGGACAGAGACCCCAGCCCCAAACAUCCCCUGCAGGGAGAGGGACAGAGACCCCCGCCCUCCACAAGCAUUUCCCAGGUCCAGGGGGACAGAGACCCCUCGAGCAUCCCUGGGGCACCGCGGCGAGAAUAAAACUGGCAGAAAAAGGAAAUUCUCUUCCUGGGCUCCGGGAGACCUGGGGAGGGUCUGAGGAGCACCGGGAGCUGCUCCCAAAAUCGCGGGGAGACCCCGGCCCUUCCCGGGUAAAACUUGUCCCCGCCCCCAACCCGGGCCACGCCUUUUUUCGAACCCUCCACCUCCCGACCAAUCAGAUCGCUCGGUUGCGUUCUAGCCACCGCUCCCCCCGUGACUUCAUAAUGUGGAACGCUGGUUGCUCCGUCCCCCAGGCUGUUUCUGGGCUCCUAUUGGCUGUUGCUAAGGGGCGGGGCUUGGGCGGACUAUAAAAGGCGGGUGUUGUGGGGGCGUUGCUCAGUCCGGGCCCGGACUCCGAGGAGUGCGCAGCAUCAAAGCGCACAACAGGAAUGGAACUGGAACUUCUCCGUUCCAUCCAAUUAAUCUCAGAGAUAUCCAAGCCCCCUCCCCACACCACAUAAUGGGAGGGGGACAGAUUUUUUUUUUUUUUUCUUUUUUCUACUCUUCUCUACUCUUCACCUUUCUCCACAGGAAAUGAAGACAGAAGAUACCCUUGCUGCAAAGCAGCAACAACAAACAGGUGACCCCCUCCCCACAUUAGGGUAGGAGAACACAUCUGACUUUCUUGUAUUUAUUCCACAGGAAAUGAGGAUAGAAAUUAUCCUCGCUGCAAAGCAGCAACAACAAAGGGUGCGGAGGCCCCAACAAAAAUUUCUCCGCUCCACAUAAAUCAAACUUCCUCUAGCUAUCUAAAACAACACAAAAAUGAUGCUACCCAAAGAACUGCAGCAACGAUGGGUGCGGAGACCCCACCACAAACUCCGCUCCAGGCAAACCUCCAGGCCUCAACCAGUUAAUGAGGAUAUCCUCAAAAUUUGGAAAUUAUCCACAUAGACAUCAGUUCCUCCAGGCCUCAACAAGGUUGAGGCUGGAGACAAUCCAACCCCUCCAUCACGGAGGAGUUGGAACGGUGGAUGCGGAGGCCUCAACUCCUCCGCUCCACCUACCUUACUAUACCUUAACAUACUAUACCUUAACCUACUCUACCUUAACCUACUGUACCUUAUCCUACACUACCUUACCCUACUCUACCCCAGAACUACACCAAAUUUAUCUCCUGUCCCCCUUCCCACACCACAUAAGGGGAAGAGGACAGAUAUGACUUUCCUCUCUUAUAUUAAUUAAUUAUAUAUAUAUAUAUAAUAAUAUAUAUCAUUAAUAAUUAUUAUAUAUCAUUAAGAUAAUAAUUAUAUAUCAUUAAGUUAAUGAGGAUAUCCUCAAAAUUUGGAAAUUAUCCACAUAGACAUCAGUUCCUCCAGGCCUCAACAAGGUUGAGGCUGGAGACAAUCCAACCCCUCCAUCACGGAGGAGUUGGAACGGUGGAUGCGGAGACCUCAACUCCUCCGCUCCACCAAUCCUACUCUACCUUACCCUACUCUAACUUAACCUACUCUACAUUAUCCUACUCUACGUUAUCCUACUCUACGUUGUCCUACUCUACUCCAGAACCCCGCCAAAUUUAUGUCAGACUUAUCCUGUCCCCCUCCCCACCCCACAUAAGGGGAGGAGGACAGAUGGGAUUUUCCUCUCGUAUAUACACAGUAAAUGAGGAUAUUCUCCUCAAAUCUCUAAACCGUCCACAUAGACCUCAAACUUCCUCCAGCCAUCUCCAACAACACAAACCUGAUCCUAGCCGAAGACCUGCAGCAACGAUGGGUGCGGAGGCCCCGCCACAAACUCCGCUCCAGGCAAACCUCCAGGCCUCAACAAGGUUGAGGCUGGAGACAAUCCAACCCCUCCAUCACGGAGGAGUUGGAACAACGGCGGCGGCCUCAACUACUCUGCUCCACCUACCCUUACCCUACCUUACCUUACCCCAGACCCCACUAAGUUUUUCCCCUGUCCCCCUCCCCACCCUACGUAAGGGGAGGAGGACAGAUCUGACUUUCCUUUCUUAUGUACGUAGUAUAGUAUAGAAAUAUAGAUGGAAGUUAUCCUCGCUGCAAGCAGCAGCAAAGAGGUGACCUCCUCUCUAACCACUGUAAGGGGAGGAGGACACACCUGACUUUUUUUUUUUAUUUCCUCCAUAAAUGAGGAUAGAAGUUAUCCUCGCUGCGAGCAGCAGCAAAGAGGUGACCUCCUCCCCAGCCACUAUAUGGGGAGGAGGACACACCUGACUUUUUAUUUUCUUUUAUUUUUUCCAUAUUAAAUGAGGAUAGAAGUUAUCCUCGCUGCAAGCAGCAGCAAAGAGGUGACCUCCUCUCCAACCACCGUAAGGAGAGGAGGACACACCUGACUUUUAUUUUUUCCAUAUUAAAUGAGGAUAGAAGUUAUCCUCGCUGCAAGCAGCAGCAAAGAGGUGUCCUCCUCCCCGACCACCAUAAGGGGAGCAGGACAGAUCUCGCUUUUCUUUUUUUUUUUCUCCACAGAAAAUGAGGAUAGAAAUUAUCCUCACUGCAAAGCAGCAACAACAAAGGGUGCGGAGGCCCCAACAGAGAUUACUCCGCUCCAUGGAGCCCUCCCUCAACCUUCACCAAGGUUGAGGCCGGACACAAUCCAACCCCUCCAUCACGGAGGAGUUGGAACGAUGGAUGUGGAGGCCUCAACUCCUCCACUUACCCUACCCUACCCUAUCCUACCCUACCCUACCCCAGACCCCACCAAAUUUAUCCCCUGUCCCCCUCCCCGCCCAACAUAAGGGGAGCAGGACAGAUCUCGCUUUUCUCUUUUUUCUCCACAGAAAAUGAGGAUAGAAAUUAUCCUCACUGCAAAGCAGCAACAACAAAGGGUGCGGAGGCCCCAACAGAGAUUACUCCGCUCCAUGGAGAUCGCCUCCAUCCCUCAACCAGGUUGAGGCUGGAGACAAUCCAACCCCUCCAUCAUGGAGGAGUUGGAACGAUGGAUGUGGAGGCCUCAACUCCUCCGCUCCACCUACCCUAUCCUACCUUACCUUACCCCAGACCCCACCAAAUUUAUCCCCUGUCCCCCUCCCCGCCCAACAUAAGGGGAGCAGGACAGAUCUCGCUUUUCUCUUUUUUUUUUCUCCACAGAAAAUGAGGAUAGAAAUUAUCCUCACUGCAAAGCAGAAACAACAAAGGGUGCGGAGGCCCCAACAGAGAUUACUCCGCUCCAUGGAGCCCUCCCUCAACCUUCACCAAGGUUGAGGCUGGAGACAAUCCAACCCCUCCAUCACAGAGGAGUUGGAAUGAAGGAUGCGGAGGCCUCAACUCCUCCGCUCCACACAGAUCUC